CCUACGGGAGGCAGCAGUGGGGAAUAUUGCACAAUGGGGGAAACCCUGAUGCAGCGACGCCGCGUGAGUGAAGAAGUAUUUCGGUAUGUAAAGCUCUAUCAGCAGGGGAGAAAAUGACGGUACCUGAUUAAGAAGCCCCGGCUAACUACGUGCCAGCAGCCGCGGUCAUACGUCGGGGGCAAGCGUUAUCCGGAUUUACUGGGUGUAAAGGGAGCGUAGACGGGAGUACGAGUCUGGAGUGAAAUGCCGGGGCUUAACCCCGGAACUGCUGUUGAAACUGUGCAGCUAGAGUGCAGGAGAGGUAAGUGGAAUUCCUGGUGUAGCGGUGAAAUGCGUAGAUAUUAGGAGGAACACCAGUGGCGAAGGCGGCUUACUGGACUGUAACUGACGUUGAGGCUCGAAAGCGUGGGGAGCAAACAGGAUUAGAUACCCCUGUAGUC
rnacentral:rRNA from 1 species